rnacentral:rRNA from 1 species
UGCGUAGGUGGCUUGGUAAGCGUGUGGUGAAAGUCCGGGGCUCAACCCCGGAUCUGCCGUGCGAACUGCUGAGCUCGAGCAAUGUAGAGGCAGGUGGAAUUUCGGGUGUAGCGGUGGAAUGCGUAGAGAUCCGAAAGAACACCAGUGGCGAAGGCGGCCUGCUGGGCAUUAGCUGACACUGAGGCACGACAGCGUGGGGAGCAAACAGGAUUAGAUACCCUGGUAGUCCACGCCGUAAACGAUGGGUACUAGGUGUCUGGGGGAGCGACCCCCUGGGUGCCGGCGCUAACGCAUGAAGUACCCCGCCUGGGGAGUACGACCGCAAGGUUGAA